GACGAACGCUGGCGGCGUGCUUAACACAUGCAAGUCGAACGGUAAGGCCCUUUCUUUUUGGGUUGCUCUAGUGGCGAACGGAUCAGUAACACGUCAGUUACCUGCCCUUGACCUUUGUUUUACUUCACCAAAUUGGGGCUCAUCUCGUAUAGGAGCUCCUGCUUCUUUGUGGUGGUUGGAAAGUUUCGGCGGUUGGGGAUGGACUCGCGGCUUUUCAGCCUGUUGGUGGGGUAGUGGCUUUCCAAGGCUUUGACGGGUAGCCGGCCUGAGAGGGUGACCGGCAACGUUGGGACUGAGAUACGGCGCAGACUGCUACGGGAGGCAGCAGUGGGGGAAAGUGCGAAGUAGGCGGGAGCCUGAUGCAGCGACGGCGCGUGCGGGAUGAAGGCCUUCGGGUUGUGAACCGCUUUCGCCUGUGACGAAGCGUGAGUGACGGUAAUGGGUAAAGAAGCACCGGCUAACUACGUG
rnacentral:rRNA from 1 species